rnacentral:rRNA from 1 species
GAUGAACGCUAGCGGCAGGCUUAAUACAUGCAAGUCAAGGGGGUAGCAAUACAACCGGCGCACGGGUGAGUAACACGUACACAACAUACCAUAUACUGAGGUAUAGCUUCGGGAAACUGAAGGUAAUCCCUCAUAGUAUUGUGAAAGGGCAUCUUUUUUACAAUUAAAGUUUCGACGGUAUAUGAUUGGUGUGCGUUUGAUUAGCUAGUUGGUAGGGUAACGGCCUACCAAGGCAACGAUCAAUAGCUGGCGUGAGAGCGCGACCAGCCACACUGGAACUGAGACACGGUCCAGACUCCUACGGGAGGCAGCAGUAGGGAAUAUUGGACAAUGGGCGAAAGCCUGAUCCAGCCAUGCCGCGUGAUAGAUGAAGGCCCUCUGGGUUGUAAAUAUCUUUUAUCUGGGAAGAAACACUUCUAUUCUUAGAAGCUUGACGGUACCAGAGGAAUAAGCACCGGCUAACUCGUGCCAGCAGCCGCGGUAAAGUGACU